AGUUUCCCAAAGAUCUGACUGAGCUGAAAAUGGACCAUGCUCACCAAGACCACUGGUAAAAACUUUGGGUAUAUUAACCAGAAUUAUUUUUAAAUUUCUGGCCACACUGCCAAAAUCUUGCUGAACUUUGGGUUUUCUUGACUUUGUGGAAGUGUUUCUUUCAUGGAACUGCUGGGAUCAAAACUGCAUCUGUCUUAGGGAUGCAGAUUGUGGCUGGGAAAUGAGAUGUGUCUUAACUUAAAGAAUGUCUGAGCUUCUUCAGAGUAGCUCAGUUUAAAAUGUUUUCUUAUUGACUGAUUGAGAUGUGCAAGCGGCUGCCACCUGACUUGUAAAAAUGGAUUUUCAAGUGUAUUUGUUUUUUAGAUAGCUUCAUACUGAGUGAAGGAAUACAUAGCCUGGAAUUUCCUCUAAUUAUAAGCCUAAUCCAGUUAGUGCACAAAUCUGGCAGAUAUUUUAGUGUAAUACAAAUUAAUGUUUUCGUUUGCUUCACCUGAUUUGUUUAGUUGAAACUUAAAUGUGUUUUAAAUGUGAAUUUUUAGUAACUAUGUAUCAAUUGCAACGAUCAACAAUUUUUUGGAGAAAUCUGGUAGCUUUACUCUCCUAUAACCUUGCAUGUUUUUGAAAUAUUUUCUACUAUGAUUGCAAAAUGAUACUACUCUUCAACUGACAAAUCACCUUCAUCCUUUAUCAAAAACAUCUUCCUCUAAGAAGCCUAGUUUCAGUUUGGCAGAAGAGAGAGGCUAUACGUUUUUAAGGGGUGACAAUAUGCUUUUAGCUCAGCCAAGCCUGGUUUAUUAGACCUUCAAUUAAAAUAAUGAGUUCAAUGGCUAUUUAGUUUAUUAGUGUUUGUAGUAGUAGUGAUGGUAGUAGUGGUAGUAGUACUACUAAUUACAUUUAUUGGGCACUGGGUAAGACUAAGUAAAAUUAGCUAGGUCAUCUCAUUUAAUCCUCAUAGCAAUUCUGUGAGGCAGGCAUUAUUAUUAUCCCCAUUCUAAGAUGAGGAAACUGAGGCACAGUGAAGUCAGAUGACUUCUCCAGGUGGUAAAUCUAGAAAACAGAACAGUUCAGGCCCAAACAGUGUCAUUUGACUCAAAACUCACAGUUGUCCCAAAAUACUAUACCAGCAUACUGUCUCUUACCUAAAUAGAUUGUCUCGCUGUAAUAAAACAUGAAUGGCUAGUGGCAACUCUUUUUGAGCAGGCAAAAUGGAUGCUUAAAACUUAAUGUCAGUCAUUCUAACUCUGGUUUAAGCACCAUUGUAGGUGGGGUCCUGGAACAGGUUAUGAAGAAUGGUUAUGAAGAAUGAUGUCAAGUCUGCCAUCUCUACUGGAUCAUGCUCUGAAAGAUCUUUUAGAGUUUAGACCCAUUCAUGGCAAAAUGGAAUACCCUAGAAGUAGGGGAGAGAGGCAAAAAGAAAGGGAGAGAGACUGAGAGAAAGGGAAAGGAAAAGAGAGAGAGCAUGCUCCAUCUUUACCACUAUCAAGGAAUCAUUGACCAUCCUACAUCUCUCCAGGUCCUUCUCAGUGACCCAGGACAUCUCAGUACAACGUAGUAUUUCAGUCUCACUGCCUGAAAUAUUAAAGGUCAAAACACAUUUUAAGGUGUUAUCUCUUUCCUGUCUCAUUCUAAUCAAUUUUGUACAUAGCUGGUUUCAUUUGAACUCAAUCAUUGUGAUUUGCCCCUUAUGGGCAGCUACAAUUAAUCAAGUGCAUGUUAGUCAACAUAGUUUGUGUACACCACAUAAUGAAAAUCCCAUGAAAUUUAGGCAUUUUGAAUGUUUUAAGAGCAAGCCUCAGUGAGACUUCCCUUGCAGAACCGACUUCCCAGCUGGAGGGAGAUGCAUGGCCCAUGCCUUUCCCAAACAAAUGUGUUUGUGACAUUUCCCUGUGUAAACGCUGACUUUGUUGGGGGGAAAUCUGUGGUGCCUGGAGAGAUGGGAGAAAUAGAUUUCGGAAAUGCUAAUCUAGGGGAGCAAUCCGCAGUAUUGCAGCCUGCUGGGGCUGUGUUCUGCAUGCUCCCCACAGCUGCCUCUGAGCGAACUUAUUGACAAAGGCGAAGGAAGCUUACAGUGCACCAGGAUGACUCACUCCACGUUUACUGGGUGGUUCACACGGCUGCCUGCUUGCCGGAACAGGAAGGCCCUUAUUGUGCUCAAUUGUUUUCCUGAAUGCCUUUCUCAACAACAGCAAAAGGAAACAUUACUUUUUGGCUUCCAGCCAUCCUGGCCACUUGGUACUUCCAGUGCUUAGAAUGCAAAAGUUGGGCUCAGCCAAGACAUGCAGAGGCACAAGGCUGCAGUUAUUUCUGUCUGUGUUUCAGAUUAACCACUGCCUUUUGCAGUAAACAAUCCAGGGUGAUUUAAGACAACGGGAACUCCCUUUACUAGCAACAGCCCCGACCCGAGUUUGACCGUUUGUUUUAUGGACUUGUUUCAUGUACAGUAACCCCAUGGGGGGCCUUGACACCACCACCCACUGAGUUGCCUGAAUAAAAUAGAAAAGGCCCUGCCUGUCAGUUACCUCCUUCUUGAAUCUGAUUGUUCCAGAGAUACUGUGAGGGAGGGGAAAGUGCAGCCUGGAGAAAAAGGGAAGGAGGAAACCAGAAAGUUAACAGCAAAGGGAAUAGAGUCAGAGUGCUGGGGGCUCCCCAGCCUCUGGAUGUAAUCACAGGCACAGUAAGGGCUAAUGGUGGUGGUUUUACCCUUCCAUGCUCUUGCAUUUGAUGUCUUUCCUGUGCUCAGUGACAAGUCUGAAUCUGUCUUCCCCUCUGGACACCUUGGCCUGGUCCUUUACUGGUUCUUCAGCUGCUGCUGCCCUGGAAAGGCUGUUAUUUUUUAGCUCAAGGGGCCAAAGUUAUGCUGCAGUUUGUGGCCAGAAAAUGGGGAUGGGAGAUGAAGUGGCAAAACAGAGUAUCAGCAGAGUAAACAGACAACCUACCAAAUGGAGGAAGAUAUUCACAAACUAUGCAUCUGACAAAGGCGAAAUAUGCAGAAUCUAUAGGGAACUUGAGCAAAUCAACAGGUAAAAAACAACCUCAUUAAAAAUGGGCAAAAGACAUGAACAGACACUUCUCAAAAAGGACAUACAAGUGGUCAAAAAACAUGAAAAAUUGCUCAGCAUCGGUAAUCAUCACGUGUCCGGAAUUGGUGGGUUCUUGGUCUCACUGAUUUCAAGAAUGAGGCCGUGGACCCUCGAGGUAUUACAGUUCUUAAAGGCGGCGGGCGUGUCCGGAGUUUGUUCCUUCUGAUGUUUGGAUGUGUUCCUUCUGCUGUUUGGGUGUGUUCGGAGUUUUUUCCUUCUGGUGGGUUCAUGGUCUUGCUGGCUUCAGAAGUGAAGCUGUAAACCUUCAUGAUGAGUGUUACAGCUCCUAAAGGCAGUGUGGACCCAAAGAGUGAGCAGCAACAAGAUUUAUUGCAAAGAGUGAAAAAACAAAGCCUUCACAGUGUAGAAGGGGACCCAAGCAGGUUGCCACUGCUGGCAGGGGCAGCCUGCUUUUAUUCUCUUAUCUGGCCCCACCCACAUCCUGCUGAUUGGUCCAUUUUACAGAGAGCCAAUUGGUCUGUUUUACAGAGAGCUGAUUGGUCCGUUUUGACAGGGUGCUGAUAGGUGUGUUUACAAUCCCUGAGCUAGACACAAAAGUUCUCCCCCUCCCCACUAGAUUAGCCAGAUACAGAGUGCUGAUUGGUGUAGUUACAAACCCUGAGCUAGACACAGAGUGCUGAUUGGUGCAUUUACAAACCUUGAGCUAGAUACAGAGUGCCGAUUAAUGUAUUUACAAUCCCUCGGCUAGACAUAAAGAUUUUCCAAGUCCCCACCAGAUUAGCUAGAUACAGAGUGCCGAUUGGUGCAUCCACAAACCCUGAGCUAGACACAAGGUGCUGAUUGGUGUGUUUACAAACCUUGAGCUAGAUAGAGUGUGCUGAUUGGUGUAUUUACAACCCUUAGCUAGACAUAAAGGUUCUCCAAGUCCCUACUAGACUCAGGAGCCCAGCUGGCUUCACCCAGUGGAUCUCACACCUGGGCAGCAGGUGGAGUUGCCUGCCAGUCUGGCGCCGUUUGCUUGCACUCCUCAGCCCUUGGGCGGUUGAUGGGAUCAGCACCGUGGAGCAGGGGGCGGCACUCAUUGGGGAGGCUCAGGCCGUGCAGGAGCCCAUGGUGGGGUGGGGAGGGGAGGCUCAGGCAUGGCAGGCUGCAGGUCCUGAGCCCUGCCCCUUUGGGAGGCAGCUAAGGCCUGGUGAGAAAUCGAGUGCAGUGCCAGUGGGCUGGCACUGCUGGGGGACCCGGCACACCCUCCGCAGCUGCUGGCCUGGGUGCUAAGCCCUUCACUGCCCGGGGCCGGCAGGGCUGGCCAGCCACUCGGAGUGUGGGGCCCGCCAAGCCCAUGCCCACCCAGAACUCUAGCUGGCCGGCAAGUGCCAUGCGCAGCCCCAGUUCCCGCCCGUGCCACUCCCUCCACAACUCCCUGCAAGCGGAGAGAGCCGGCUCUGGCCUCGGCCAGCCCAGAGAAGGGCCCCCACAGUGCAGCAGCAGGCUGAAGGGCUCCUCAAGCGUGGCCAGAAUGGGUGCCGAGGCUGAGGAGGCACCGAGAGCGAGCAAGGGCUGCGAGGGCUGCCAGCACGCUGUCACCUCUCAAUCAGAGAAAUACAAAGCAAAACCACAGUGAAAUACCACCUCACACGAGUCAGCAUGGCUAUCACUUGAAAGUCCAAAAACAACAGAUGCCAAUGAGACUGCAAAAAGAAGGGAACACUUAUACGCUGCUGGUGGGAAUGUAAGUUAGUUCAGCCACUGUGGAAAACAGUCUGAAGAUUUCUCAAAGAACUUAAAACAGAGCUACCAUUUGACCCAGCAAUCUCAUUAUUGGGCAUAUACUCAAAGGAAACUAAAUCAUUCUACCUAAAAGACACAUACACUUAUAUGUUCAUCGCUCCACUAUUCACAAUAGUAAAGACAUGGAAUCAACCCACGUGCCCAUCAGCGGUAGAUUGUAUAAAGAAAAUGUGGCACAUAUACAUGACGGAAUACUAAACAACCAUAAAAAGGAAAGAAAUCAUGUCCUUUAUAGCAACAUGGAUACAGCUGGAGGCCAUAAUCUUAAGUGAAUUAACACAGGAACAGAAAACCAAAUACCCUAUGUUCUCACUUGUAAGUGGGAGCUAAAUAUUUAGCACACAUGGACAUAAAUAUAGGAAGAAUAGACACGUGGACUACUGGAGGGAGGAGGAAAAAAGGGGGGUGUGGGUGGGUAACUCCCUACUGGGUACUAUGCUCACUACUUGGGUGGUGGGAUCCAUACCCAAACCUCAGCAUCACAUAAUAUUCCCAUGUAACAAACCUGCACAUGUACCCCCUGUAUCUAAAAUAAAAGUUGAAAUUUAAAAAAAAAUGUUUCGGCCCAGCAUGGUGGCUCAUGCCUGUAAUCCCAGCAUGAUUUGGGAGGCCGAGGCAGGUGGAUCACAAGGUCAGAAGAUUGAGACCAUACACUGUGUUAACCAUAACAGGGUUAACAGAGUAAAACCCUGUCUCUACUAAAAAUACAAAAAUUAGCCAGGCGUGGUGGGCACUUAUAGUCCCAGCUCCUCUGGAGGCUGAGGCAGGAGAAUGGCGUGAACCCGGGAGGCGGAGCUUGCAAUGAACUGAGAUCGUGCCACUGCACUCCAGCCUGGGCAACAGAAUGUUUCUCUUUUCAACUCAGUAUUGCUCUGGGCCUCAAGUGGCCCCCACUGUGUUCACAGUCUUAUGCACCUACCGUGUCAUGGUUUUCAGAGCUACUCUGAGCUUUCUCUGUCCAGGUGUUCAAGCUGGAGGCCACGGAAGGUGCGUAGGAAGGGUAGGGGUGGCAGGAGGAGGCAGAUUCCACACUGUUCCUUCUGGCCUCUCUGCUCCCUUUUCCCUUCCUCCUUUCAGGUUCUCCUGCACCAACUCCACCUACGUUACCAGCACAGGAUCUGGAGCUCACAUGCAGAUUAUUUCAUGCCAAGGUACACAAGUAACCCUUCCUAGGCCACCUGUUCUGACCCACCUGAAAGCUUAAAUCAGUCUGGGCUCACCCAGAGCAUCCUGCUGCAUGAGCUCCUUCCAAAGCCCCCAGGACUUUUGCCAGUCUUUAGCAACAUGGAUCCCUAAAAAUCAGGUUGUUCAAAAGUGUUCCAUGUUCAAAAUAGUUUGAGAAACUAGAUUAAAGGAAAGCAAGCAGGUUCUUGGCAGCAGGACUCCUCAGAUACAUGGCUGUGUUGCUGCAUGCUGUGGCUCUGCAAUGAGGCUCAAGUAUGUAGGGUUCUCUUGUGCUUUAGACUGGUUAAGCGCCAAUGCCAAAGAGGGAACAAAGGAUUGGUACUUUUCCUUCAACUGAUUGGGCCUCUCUCAGAGAAUACAAACUCACAAAAUGAGAGGAAAAGUACAGCAAACUUUGUGGCUGCCUUUAGCACCCCUACGCCUACUGGUGGUAAAGGGAAAGUCCACUCUGGAGAGGGGAAGGGUCACUGCUUUCAGACCCUGGGCAGGGUGACAUGCAUGGUGCUGGUGGGUGGAGCCAGCCACAUCUGCAUUUAAUGUAUAAUACUUCACCGGGUGUAGGGUGGGGAUAGCCAGUAUGGUGGCAGGUCCCAUUGGAGCAGCAGCAAUAGGUUGGUUGUGGGUCCUGCUACAUCAGGCUGUUUUUGGGAAAGGACCUGAGGCCUCGUCCUUUGGCAGGACAAACUGGUAGAGUCAGGGCUGCCAAUGAAAAUAGCCAAGCUCAUACAAGCUAGGGUGCAUAGACUCAUCUAGCUCAUGAUUCGCUCCGGUACAUCAAAAAGCCAGCAAGCCCGACAGCAGCAAAAAACAAGUCACCGUCUUAAAUUCAAACAUCAUAUUUGUACACAAAUUAUACUGUCAGUGUGUUCUAAGCAGAUGGAAUCAUCUUGUUCAUUUCUUGGGGCCAGAGUGAUAAUCCCAUUUGGUGGCCGGGCAUGGUGGCUCAUGCCUGUAAACCCCAGCACUUUGGGAGGCCAAGGCAGGUAGAUUGCUUGAGCCCAGGAAUUUAAGACCAGCCUGGGAAGCAUGGCAAAACUCUGUCUCUGCAAAAACAACAAAAAUUAGCCAGGCGUGGUGGCUCACUCCUGCAGUUCCAGCUACUCAGGAGGCUGAGGUGGGAGGAUCGCUGGAGCCCAGGAGGUCAAGGCUGCAGUGAGUUGUGAUCGUGCUAC
rnacentral:lncRNA from 1 species